CCUACGGGGGGCUGCAGUGGGGAAUAUUGCACAAUGGGGGAAACCCUGAUGCAGCAACGCCGCGUGGGUGAAGGAGCGUUUCGGCGCGUAAAGCCCUGUCAGCGGGGAAGAAGAAAGACGGUACCCGACCAAGAAGCCCCGGCUAACUACGUGCCAGCAGCCGCGGUAAUACGUAGGGGGCGAGCGUUAUCCGGAUUUACUGGGUGUAAAGGGAGCGUAGACGGUUAUGUAAGUCUGGAGUGAAAGCCCGGGGCCCAACCCCGGGACUGCUUUGGAAACUGUGUAACUGGAGUACAGGAGGGGCAGGCGGAAUGCCUGGUGUAGCGGUGAAAUGGGUAGAUAUCAGGAGGAGCACCGGCGGCGAAGGCGGCCUGCUGGACUGAAACUGACGUUGAGGCUCGAAAGCGUGGGGAGCAAACAGGAUUAGAUACCCUGGUAGUC
rnacentral:rRNA from 1 species